rnacentral:rRNA from 1 species
GACGAACGCUGGCGGCGUGCCUAACACAUGCAAGUCGAGCGAUGAAGCCCUUCGGGGUGGAUUAGCGGCGGACGGGUGAGUAACACGUGGGUAACCUGCCUUGUAGAGGGGGAUAGCCUUCCGAAAGGAAGAUUAAUACCGCAUAACAUCUUUUUAUCGCAUGGUAGAAAGAUCAAAAGGAGCAAUCCGCUACAAGAUGGACCCGCGGCGCAUUAGCUAGUUGGUGAGGUAACGGCUCACCAAGGCGACGAUGCGUAGCCGACCUGAGAGGGUGAUCGGCCACAUUGGGACUGAGACACGGCCCAAACUCCUACGGGAGGCAGCAGUGGGGAAUAUUGCACAAUGGGGGAAACCCUGAUGCAGCAACGCCGCGUGAAGGAAGAAGGUUUUCGGAUCGU